GAUGAACGCUGGCGGCGUGCCUAAUACAUGCAAGUCGAGCGAACGGACGAGAAGCUUGCUUCUCUGAUGUUAGCGGCGGACGGGUGAGUAACCCGUGGAUAACCUACCUAUAAGACUGGGAUAACUUCGGGAAACCGUAGCUAAUACCGGAUAAUAUUUUGAACCGCAUGGUUCAAAAGUGAAAGACGGUCUUGCUGUCACUUAUAGAUGGAUCCGCGCUGCAUUAGCUAGUUGGUAAGGUAACGGCUUACCAAGGCAACGAUGCAUAGCCGACCUGAGAGGGUGAUCGGCCACACUGGAACUGAGACACGGUCCAGACUCCUACGGGAGGCAGCAGUAGGGAAUCUUCCGCAAUGGGCGAAAGCCUGACGGAGCAACGCCGCGUGAGUGAUGAAGGUCUUCGGAUCGUAAAACUCUGUUAUUAGGGAAGAACAUAUGUGUAAGUAACUGUGCACAUCUUGACGGUACCUAAUCAGAAAGCCACGGCUAACUACGUG
rnacentral:rRNA from 1 species